AGUGUGCUGUUGGAGUCCCACGUUUCUCAGUAAUACAUUAAUGACACUGAUUUUGUUUAAUUGAUGUCUGCAGGCCUUGAGAAAUGAAGAUAAGUUUUUUCCUUGUGUGAGACUCCAUGUGCAUACAGGAGGGAGAAGUCCUGGUCCUAAAGAUGAUAGGAUAUGAGAAGAUAAAGCAAUGGAAAAAGGCCCACUGUACCAUGAGAUCAACAAGAUUAGAUAUUUUUGUAACCUGCUCACCAGCAGAAUGUGAUAUUCUGGCUGAGACAAGAAGCUAAGAACAACUGACCUGCAAGAUUAAGGAAGAAGCUGUGAAAACAUGAAGAUACUGGAAGAGCUGAGCUGGACUUUUUGAUGGUUCUGCCUAAUAGGAAAGCCACAGGAAUAAUACAGCUGCCUCGGACUGAGAGGAGACCUGUGACCUGUUGGAGCCAUUGGAAAAAUUCCUGCUGAUUUCCAAG
rnacentral:lncRNA from 1 species